CGGAGGAUCCAAGCGUUAUCCGGAAUCAUUGGGUUUAAAGGGUCCGUAGGCGGUUUAGUAAGUCAGUGGUGAAAGCCCAUCGCUCAACGGUGGAACGGCCAUUGAUACUGCUAGACUUGAAUUAUUAGGAAGUAACUAGAAUAUGUAGUGUAGCGGUGAAAUGCUUAGAGAUUACAUGGAAUACCAAUUGCGAAGGCAGGUUACUACUAAUGGAUUGACGCUGAUGGACGAAAGCGUGGGUAGCGAACAGGAUUAGAUACCCUGGUAGUCCACGCCGUAAACGAUGGAUACUAGCUGUUGGGAGCGGUCUCAGUGGCUAAGCGAAAGUGAUAAGUAUCCCACCUGGGGAGUACGUUCGCAAGAAUG
rnacentral:rRNA from 1 species